UACGAAGGGGGCUAGCGUUGCUCGGAAUCACUGGCGUAAAGCGCACGUAGGCGGACUCUUAAGUCGGUGGUGAAAUCCUGGAGCUCAACUCCAGAACUGCCUUCGAUACUGAGAGUCUCGAGUCCGGGAGAGUGAGUGGAACUGCGAGUGUAGAGGUGAAAUUCGUAGAUAUUCGCAAGAACACCAGUGGCGAAGGCGGCUCACUGGCCCGGUACUGACGCUGAGGUGAGCGAACGAGCGUG
rnacentral:rRNA from 1 species